rnacentral:lncRNA from 1 species
AUGCAAAAUCUUCAACAAUACAAACCCAAACAGAAAGAUUUCCGUUUCAUAACAAAGUCAAAAACUGGAGUUUUGUUGGAGAACAUGGGGAGUGACCCUGAGCUGUCUGCUCUAACUCUGCUGCAGGUGUUAACGAGGAGGGGAGGCACUCUCCAAACUGCGGUUCCUGGCUCGGACGGGACCUGGCAGUCCCCGGGAACCAGCUGCGCAGGGUAGCAAUGAUGAAAAAUACCUGAUGUAAGAAGUGGUACGACUCGUGACAGCAAGCUGCUUGUGUGCAUCAAGUGGUGCUGGGUGCUAAUCUCAGUGGACCGACCAAAUGUACGUGCCUGCCUUGAAUGCUUUUUGUUUGAUGAUCCUUGGUGGACUUGCUAAGUGCAUUAGUCUUUUGAGGCUUAGAGUUUUCUAGCCCCCGGGAGCAGCACAUUCUGUGAACACCUCUGUCUAACGUGGAGUUUGAUUUCAAAGGGAAGCCCAUGAUGUGGAACUGGCGUUGUGAUGAUGGAAACUUACUAUAUAUUUUCCUUAAAGUAAGAAGAAACCUUAUAGCAGUUUUAAAAAUAAAAUACAAGUUUUUUGCA